GACGAACGCUGGCGGCGUGCUUAACACAUGCAAGUCGAACGGAAAGGCCUGCUUUCCCUUGUGGAUUGCGGGUACUCGAGUGGCGAACGGGUGAGUAACACGUGAGUGAUCUGCCCCCAACUUGGGUAUAAGCCUGGGAAACUGGGUCUAAUUCCCGAUAGGACUGCAGGGUGGUGCCUGUGGUGGAAAACGAUUUUCUAGUGGUUGGGGAUGAGCUCGCGGCCUAUCAGCUUGUUGGUGGGGUAAUGGCCUACCAAGGCGGCGACGGGUAGCCGGCCUGAGAGGGUGGACGGCCACAUUGGGACUGAGAUACGGCCCAGACUCCUACGGGAGGCAGCAGUGGGGAAUAUUGCACAAUGGGCGGAAGCCUGAUGCAGCGACGCCGCGUGGGGGAUGACGGCCUUCGGGUUGUAAACUCCUUUCGACCGCGAGGAAGCCACCUGGUUGGAAGGGUGGUGACGGUAGUGGUAGAAGAAGCACCGGCUAACUACGC
rnacentral:rRNA from 1 species